rnacentral:sRNA from 1 species
UACAUGAUCCUGAAGCAGAAAAAACGGCGCAGAUUACACAGGCGACACAGCAAAAAGAAAGUCUUCUGACGUUGGCUACAUCAAAUAUUGGACCGCUGCAGGAUGCUGUUGAUUUGGGUAUUGCGACAGAAGCGGAAACGACGCUUUUGCUGGCGUGGAAAAAAUACCGGGUUCUGAUCAAUCGCAUUAAGCCUGAAGA